rnacentral:rRNA from 1 species
AUGCGGAUCCCGCGGCGGAAGGCCGGGGUGCCGCUCGGCGUGCCCAGCCGGCGGGCGCAGAUCGCCGCGGUCUUCGCGCUCGCCGUGCUGCUCGGCGUCUCCGUCCUCUACGACAGCGCCCACAUCGCCGCCUCGCUGCGCCGCCACAGCGGCUACAAGACCAUCUCCGCCACACCGGCGCAGGCAGUGGGAUCGGCGGGGGCGGCCACGGAUCGGACCGACCCGCCCCCGCGGCUUGGGGCGGAGGAGGAGGGGGUGUCUAAGUCUGACUCCGGGACGGCAGCGGACGGGUCCUCGCCGGAGACGGGGGUCCUCAAGGAAGUGGUGGGGGAAGGGGGCGGGGCUACCUGCGACAUGUACAAGGGGAGGUGGGUGCACGACGAGGAGAACGCGCCCAUGUACAAGGAGUCCGACUGCGAGUUCCUCACGGAGCAGGUCACCUGCAUGCGCAACGGCCGCCGCAGCGACGAGUACCAGAAGUGGCGGUGGCAGCCUGAUGCCUGCGACCUCCCAAGGUUCGAUGCGAAGUUGCUUCUUGAGAAGCUAAGGAACAAAAGAAUGAUGUUUGUGGGGGAUUCACUGAACAGGAACCAGUGGGAGUCCAUGGUGUGCCUGGUCCAGUCUGUGGCUCCAUGGGAUAAGAAAAAGCUUGUCAAGAAUGGAUCUCUAAAUGUGUUCCGCCUUAAUGAGUACAAUGCAACGAUUGAGUUCUAUUGGGCUCCUUUCCUAGUUGAGUCGAACUCAGAUGAUCCAGACAUCCAUAGCAUCACCGACCGAAUGAUCACGCCAACAUCGAUCGCCAAGCAUGCAGCAAAUUGGAUAGGGGUGGACUAUUUGAUCUUCAACACUUACAUUUGGUGGAUGAACACCCCGAAGAUGAAAAUUGUGCCUGACGGAUCCUUCACAAGGAAACCAGUUAAGUACGAUGAAUUGGAUCGUGUGGUUGCGUACCGACAGAUCCUCGAGACAUGGUCUGGAUGGGUAGAAGAGAAUGUAGAUCCCAAAAGAACAAUGGUCUUAUUCAUGAGUGUGUCACCAGUACAUAUGCAGAGUGAAGGCUGGGGCAGCCCUGACAACAUAAAAUGCUUCUCUGAGACACAACCAGUGCUAAAUUACACAAAAACACUGGAUGUCGGCACUGACUGGGAUCUUUUCACGGAAUCUCAUGAAGUGACGAAGGCGAUGAAGAAGGUGCCCGUGCACUUCAUCAACAUAACCGCAUUGUCGGAAAUCCGCAAGGAUGCACACACAUCUGUGCACACGCUGCGGCAGGGUAAGCUCCUGACAAAGGAGCAGCAAGCCAACCCACGCAAGUUCGCCGACUGCAUCCACUGGUGCCUCCCUGGCUUGCCGGACACAUGGAACGAGUUCAUUUACGGCCACAUUGUGUCGAGCCCUCUACAGCGGCAGAUUGAGAAUCAAUCUGCAAGAUGA